AUUGAACGCUAGCGGGAGGCUUAACACAUGCAAGUCGAGCGAGCGGCGGACGGGUGAGUAAUGUAUGGGAAAGUGCCCGCUGGAGGGGGAUAACUACUGGAAACGGUAGCUAAUACCGCAUACCAUCAGAUGUGCCCAGAUGGGAUUAGCUAGUAGGUGGGGUAAUGGCUCACCUAGGCAACGAUCCGUAGCUGGUUUGAGAGGAUGACCAGCCACACUGGAACUGAGACACGGUCCAGACUCCUACGGGAGGCAGCAGUGGGGAAUAUUGCACAAUGGGCGCAAGCCUGAUGCAGCCAUGCCGCGUGUGUGAAGAAGGCCUUCGGGUUGUAAAGCACUUUUAGCGGGGAAGCGUUACUCGCAGAAUAAGCACCGGCUAACUCCGUGCCAGCAGCCGCGGUAAUUC
rnacentral:rRNA from 1 species